UGGGUUGGCCAGGCAGCCGCGCGCCGCGUAAGCGGCUCGAGGAACGUCCGGGCUCCGCAGAGCAGAGUGGUGGGUAACACCCACUCGGGGUAACCCGCAGGAAAGUGCCACAGAAAACAGACCGCCCGCCUUCCCUCCCGUGGAAACACAGGGUGGAAGCGCAGGUAAGGGUGAAACGGUGGUGUAAGAGACCACCAGUUCCCUGGGUGACCAGGGAAGCUAGGUAAACCCCGCUCGGAGCAAGGCCAGACAGGGCAUGUUUGAGGGCUGCUCGCCCGAGUGUCCGGGUAGGCCGCUGGAGGGCGCCGGUAACGGCGUUCGUAGAUGGAUGGCUGCCGCUCCCGCACCGGCAACGGCGCGGGAGAACAGAACCCGGCGUACCGGCCAACCCAUCCA
rnacentral:RNase_P_RNA from 1 species